rnacentral:rRNA from 1 species
UUGAAAGGGAAACGAUUGAAGUCAGUCGUACCGACGAGAAAUCAGCUCUUUGAGUGUGGACUUGUGGGCGUGCGUGAGCUUUACGGUCUCGCUGUUUGCAAUGUUUGUGCUUUUUGGGUGUACUUUUUCGUAUGGUAGGCCAACAUCAGUUUCGAAUAUCAUAAAAUGACCGGCGGAAUGUAGCUUCGAUCUCGUAUCGAAGUGUUAUAGCCUCUGGUAGAUGUGGUGUUUGGGACUGAGGAUUGCAACGAAUAUCCUUUGGGCUAUCCGUCUGAUCUCUGAAAGUUGCUUAGGUGCCGAAAGCGUGCUUACGGUUAUUCAAGUUGGCGGUCAAAAGGUUAGAACGUGAUUAAAUUCGUUAAGGAUGUUGACGUA